CUACGGGCUGCACCAGUGAGGAAUAUUGCACAAUGGGGGCAACCCUGAUGCAGCAACGCCGCGUGGAGGAUGACGCAUUUCGGUGUGUAAACUCCUUUUAUCAGAGAAGAACCAUGACGGUAUCUGAUGAAUAAGCUCCGGCUAACUCCGUGCCAGCAGCCGCGGUAAUACGGAGGGAGCAAGCGUUAUUCGGAAUCACUGGGCGUAAAGGACGCGUAGGCCGGUCUGUAAGUCAGGUGUGAAAUGCAAUGGCUCAACCAUUGAACUGCACUUGAAACUGCGGACCUAGAGUAUGGAAGGGGCAGAUGAAAUUAGUGGUGUAGGGGUAAAAUCCGUAGAUAUCACUAGGAAUACCGAAAGCGAAGGCGAUCUGCUGGGACAUAACUGACGCUGAGGCGUGAAAGCGUGGGGAGCAAACAGGAUUAGAUACCCCCGUAGUC
rnacentral:rRNA from 1 species